ensembl:lncRNA
GUUUGACAGCUUGUUUUGGUAGAUGGAGACCUUCCCCUGCUGGCCGGACAGUGAUAGGUCUGCCUCCAGGAUCAGUCAAGCUGCACAGGAGUCAAGACAUUUGACCAUUCUGCAGGCCUAGGUCCAGGCCUAGGUCCGGAGUUGGAUCUGUGGUUGGCAAGUUUGUUUCCAUGGUUCCUGCAGGACCCCACGGUGGAUCUCCAAGGCCAUAAUAUAUCAGGGUUGGAGCCAUGUGACAGAUGGUUUCCAUGACCACAGUCAAGGCCACAGCGAGCAAGCCUGGUUCCCGGGGCACAGCCAGGUUUGACUCCCAUCAUGUCCAUCUAUGGGCAGACUGAUUUCAGGAGUGUGGGUGAGCAGGCCUGGAACUGAGUCACAGGGUUGCUUCAGGGUCCACCGUUGGGACCUUUGUCAGCAGGCUCGCCACUGUGGCUCAGAUGGCCCUGUGUCCUGCUGGCCCCUGGGACAGGACUUCCCCAGACCACAGCAGAGAGAGCUGGAUCUGAACCUGUGCACAUAUGGGACGCCAGCACUGCAGGUGGCGGCUUUACCCGCUACGCCACAGUGCUGGCCUCUUCCUUCCCUUUCUGCCUGGCCUGUAGUAAGUCAGGGAGAUGAGAAUCAAGAAUUUGAUGUUUUUGAGUAUCCAGCUGCAGUAAAGAGGGAGAUGGACAGGAAGAGGUUUUGGAUGCCAGGCAAUAAAGUGGCUUCUGGGUAUUCUCACAGUGGUAGUGAGGGGACACAGACAGUCCUUUGCAGACUUUCGAUAGGGUAAGUAAAGAGAAUCAUUGUGGUGGACAGGGAAGGCCAAUCCCAGUGAUCCAGGGAGUGCAGAGACCUUUUGGCAGAAAUGGUAACCAACUGAUUACACAAAAAAACUGUACAUAUAUUCUUGUUUUAACAAUUGUGGUUGAGAGAGAAAAUCAAUUCACACCUGUGAAGAAAUAAGGACUCUUCUUUUAAAAAAGAUUUAAUUGGCCAGCGCCGCGGCUGACUAGGCUAAUCCUCCGCCUUGCGGCGCCGGCACACCGGGUUCUAGUCCUGGUCGGGAUGCCGGAUUCUGUCCCGGUUGCCCCUCUUCCAGGACAGCUCUCUGCUGUGGCCAGGGAGUGCAGUGGAGAAUGGCCCAAGUACUUGGGUCCUGUUUCUGUCUCUCUCUCUCUCACUGUCCACUCUGCCUGUCAAAAAAAAAAAAAAAAUAUAUAUAUAUAUAUAUUUUCCUGCUCUGGGCUGUAGAUAAAUUGAUCAAAAACAAACUGGUUGAGAUGGUGAUGAAAGAGCAGAAAAUAUUUGAUUGGUUUGUCACAAACUCAUAAUUUUUUCACUCCACGGGCUAGCUUUUUUAUUAAUUGUAAUUUUUUUUUGAGUUUUUUGAGGGAGUAAUUUUUAUGAAAGCAUAGUGUCAUGUCCUUUUUAGGAUUUUUAUUCUUCAGGGUUUUUUUCUUUUUUUUCUCUCUUGGGGCAAUCUUGCGCAAUUACAAAUUUCUUUUGUAGUCUAUGUGACCAUCCAAAUACUAAGAGGGUGGAACCAUUCAUUGUGAAGAUAUAACUUUGUAUUAAACACCGACGUUUGCUUUUCCCUUAAUAUUUCAAAAAUUUACCUUCAAUCAACUAGUGAAUUUGAGCUGAGAAUACAGUAUAUAAAUUAUUUGCUAGCCGAAUAUUUUGCCAAUCAUUAGUAAUGUUACUUAAAAGAUAAAAAGAAUGCUCUUAAAAAUAUAUAAACACAGGGCUGGCACUGUGGCAUAGCAGGUGAAAGACGCCACCUUCGAGGCCCAUAUCCCAUAUGGAUACCUAUUCGCGUAGAGGCAGUUCCACUUCUCAUCCAGCUCCCUGGUAAUGGCCUGGGAAAGCAGUAGAAAAUGGCUCAAGUGUUUGGGCUCCUUUGCCCACGUGGGAGACCUGAAGUUCCUGGCUCCUGGCUUUGGCUUUUGAGUGAACCAAAGGAUGGAAGAGUCCUCUCUCUCUGUGUCUCUUCUUUUUUCUGUAACCCUGAUUUUCAAAUUAAAUAAAUUAAAGGGCCAGCGCUGUGGCA